rnacentral:rRNA from 1 species
AUGAACAAGAUUCGUGGCAGUUUAAGGGUCACAAAUCUUGAGAAUGUUGCUGGGAAGGAUCAAGCCUUAGAAUCAAAGCUGCACCAGAAAAGUCAUCUUGGCAGCUUAGGACUUGUAUGGAGUUAUGAAAAUAACACAAAUGCAGAGGAUAGUUUACAUUUGGAGGUUCUAAAAGGCCUGAUGCCACCGCCUCAGCUUGGGGAUCUUACAAUUGACGGUUACAGAUCUUCAGAAUAUCCAGGCUGGUUACUUGAUGGUUCAUAUUUUGAGAAUUUGGAAUCUUUAAGCUUUAAUAAUUGCAGCGCAUUACAAAGCCUACCGUCCAAUAGCCUUGAAUUUUUACAUGUGGACAAUUGCCCACUGCUUAUAUUUAUUUCCAACGAUGAGAUGGAACAUCAUGAUCAGAGAGAGAAUAUCAUGAGGACAGAUCACUUGGAAUCACAGCUUCAUUUAAUCUGGGAGGUGGAUUCAAGAUCACUUAUUAGGUCUAUACUCCCGAGGGAACAUUCAUUUCUGAAGCAGUUGUUGACAGUGAUGCAUAGUGAUGUGACACAUGUUCAAAACCUUGAGAGUGCUCUACCAAGAGAGAAGGAUAAAGUAUUUGUGAAGGAGGAUGUCAUCAAGGCAUGGAUAUAUUGCCACGAGCAAAGGAUACGACUCACGUAUGGAAGUAGCAUUGGGCUGCCACUUGUUCCACCAUCAGGACUUCGUCAACUUUAUCUUUCUUCAUGCUGUAUUACAGAUGGAGCUUUAGCUGUUUGCCUUGCUGGCCUAGCUUCACUGAAAACUUUGUUCUUAAAAGAGAUUAUGACUCUAACUACACUUCCUUCAGAAGAGGUCCUCUGA